GAUGAACGCUGGCGGCGUGCCUAAUACAUGCAAGUCGAGCGAACAGACGAUAAGCUUGCUCCUCUGACGUUAGCGGCUGACGGGUGAGUAACACGUGGAUAACCUACCUAUAAGACUGGGAGGACUUCGGGAAACCGGAUCUAAUACCGGAUAAUAUAUUCUACCGCAUGGUUCAAUAGAUAAAGACGGCUUUGCUGUUACUUAUAGAUGGAUCCGCGCCGCAUUAGCUAGUUGGUAAGGUAACGGCUUACCAAGGCAACGAUGCGUAGCCGACCUGAGAGGGUGAUCAGCCACACUGGAACUGAGACACGGUCCAGACUCCUACGGGAGGCAGCAGUAGGGAAUCUUCCGCAAUGGGCGCAAGCCUGACGCAGCCAUGCCGCGUGAGUGAUGAAGGUCUUCGGAUUGUAAAACUCUGUUAUUAGGGAAGAAAAAAUGUGUAAGUAACUCUGCACGUCUUGACGGUACCUAAUCAGAAAGCAACGGCUAACUACGUG
rnacentral:rRNA from 1 species